rnacentral:rRNA from 1 species
AACGAACGCUGGCGGCAUGCCUAACACAUGCAAGUCGAACGAGACCUUCGGGUCUAGUGGCGCACGGGUGCGUAACGCGUGGGAACCUGCCCUUAGGUUCGGAAUAACUCCCCGAAAGGGGUGCUAAUACCGGAUAAUGUCUUCGGACCAAAGAUUUAUCGCCUUUGGAUGGGCCCGCGUUGGAUUAGCUAGUUGGUAGGGUAAAAGCCUACCAAGGCGACGAUCCAUAGCUGGUCUGAGAGGAUGAUCAGCCACACUGAGACUGAGACACGGCCCAGACUCCUACGGGAGGCAGCAGUGGGGAAUAUUGGACAAUGGGCGAAAGCCUGAUCCAGCAAUGCCGCGUGAGUGAUGAAGGCCUUAGGGUUGUAAAGCUCUUUUACCCGGGAUGAUAAUGACAGUACCGGGAGAAUAAGCUCCGGCUAACUCCGUG